CCACAUGGGACUGAGCUCCAAAUGAAACGGUGCACGAGAACUCAGUGGUCCUUGAGGUGUUUGUCAGUGUGGGCUAGCUUCCCCUGCUGUAUUUAUUUAUGUAUUGUCUUAAUUUUAUCAGAGUUUAAAAUGAAGACGGCUGCUAACCAUUGUGGACCAAAUGUCAUGCUACCACUAAACAAAAGACCCACUCAGUCUGUGUAAAAUCGUAUGUCUUUUUAAAGGUAUUUGGAGAUUCAUCUAAGCUUUAAAGAGGGCCGGGCAGCUUGAGCACCUGAGAUGCGGACAUAGCUCUGGACCGGUUCUGUUGUGUCAGCUGCUCUAUGGCCUCUGAAGAGCAAUAGCUAAUUUAUUACUACUGUAAUUUUUUAAAGGCUUUAAAGUGCCUCAGGGGCCCCCUGAAACUACGUUUCUAUUUCUGGGGUUCCCUGGAUUCUUUAUAAGAGAUGGUGACAUGACUAGAAAUUCUUUUUUUAGUAUGAAAAUUGUUCCUUCAAUACCUUUAUCUUACUGGCAUUGAAUUAUCAGAGACAGAAAAUUGGUAAUUUUUUUAAUUUCUAACUCUCCCAGGAAACUCCUCUUGCCUAGUAUUUAUUUGAUGUGCUUUAACCAUGGGAGGAGGGGAAAACCUCAAGCUGCCAGUGUUGAUCAACAGACUGUACCAGUACACGGGGCUGUACUGGCUUAGGGACGGCAAGAUGCUCUGGGGUGUAUUGGAUACCUCCAGUUUCUUCAUUUCCGGAUUGAGUUUUCUUUUCUUAAUGUUGGUCUUCAUAAUCACC
rnacentral:lncRNA from 1 species